rnacentral:rRNA from 1 species
GUUAUAGUUUAUUUGAUGGUCUUUACUACAUGGAUAACCGUGGUAAUUCUAUGGCUAAUACAUGCGCACAUGCCUCUUCCUCUGGAAGGGCAGUGUUUAUUAGAUACAGAACCAACCCACCUUCCGGUGGUCCUCAGGUGAUUCAUAGUAACCGAACGGAUCGCGUUGACUUCGGUCUGCGACGGAUCAUUCAAGUUUCUGACCUAUCAGCUUUCGACGGUACUGUAUUGGA